UUUCAGAAAAGACAUGUAAUAGCGAGAGCUAGAACCAAUGUUUUUGGCUGACGUUAAAAAACACUAUCUGCAAUGUCUGAGGAGGACAGACAGACGGAAGGCUAAGGACAACAGACAGUUCCAAGCGGUGGAUGCUAGCUCAGGCACAUAGAGCACUGCCCUCCGAGGGACAUACUUGUGAUUGGACAAGGAGCUGUACCCAGGCCUGCAGACACUGGCCACGAGGGAUGCCUUUCUGCAAGGGAAGUGACUAGGAUUAGUCCAAAAUGGAAUUCUGUAUUUAUAAAUUUGUGACCAAA
rnacentral:lncRNA from 1 species